UACGUAGGGUGCGAGCGUUGUCCGGAAUUAUUGGGCGUAAAGAGCUUGUAGGCGGUUUGUUGCGUCUGCUGUGAAAAUCCGGGGCUCAACCCCGGACUUGCAGUGGGUACGGGCAGACUAGAGUGUGGUAGGGGAGACUGGAAUUCCUGGUGUAGCGGUGAAAUGCGCAGAUAUCAGGAGGAACACCGAUGGCGAAGGCAGGUCUCUGGGCCACUACUGACGCUGAGAAGCGAAAGCAUGGGGAGCGAACAGG
rnacentral:rRNA from 1 species